GACAGAGGAUGCAAGCGUUAUCCGGAAUGAUUGGGCGUAAAGCGUCUGUAGGUGGCUUUCAAGUCCGCCGUCAAAUCCCAGGGCUCAACCCUGGACAGGCGGUGGAAACUACCAAGCUGGAGUACGGUAGGGGCAGAGGGAAUUUCCGGUGGAGCGGUGAAAUGCAUUGAGAUCGGGAAAGAACACCAACGGCGGAAAGCACUCUGCUGGGCCGACACUGACACUGAGAGACGAAAGCUAGGGGAGCAAAUGG
rnacentral:rRNA from 1 species